rnacentral:rRNA from 1 species
UGUGAGGAAAGUUUACUAGUUAAUACCUGCUAGCCGUGACGUUAACUGCAGAAGAAGCACCGGCUAACUCCGUGCCAGCAGCCGCGGUAAUACGGAGGGUGCGAGCGUUAAUCGGAAUUACUGGGCGUAAAGCGCACGCAGGCGGUUUGUUAAGCUAGAUGUGAAAGCCCCGGGCUCAACCUGGGAUGGUCAUUUAGAACUGGCAGACUAGAGUCUUGGAGAGGGGAGUGGAAUUCCAGGUGUAGCGGUGAAAUGCGUAGAUAUCUGGAGGAACAUCAGUGGCGAAGGCGACUCCCUGGACAAAGACUGACGCUCAUGUGCGAAAGUGUGGGUAGCGAACAGGAUUAGAUACCCUGGUAGUCCACACCGUAAACGCUGUCUACUAGCUGUGUGUGUCUUUAAAACGUGCGUAUCGAAGCUAACGCGCUAAGUAGACCGCCUGGGGAGUACGGCCGCAAGGUUAAAACUCAAAUGAAUUGACGGA